AUUGAGCGCAUAGGCGCCCACUCCCACAUACGUGGACUUGGUCUCGACUCCGCUCUGGAACCCCGCGCCGUCUCUGAGGGCAUGGUAGGCCAGACUGCCCGAAAGGCCGCCGGCGUCAUCCUCCAAAUGAUAAAGGAUGGGAAAAUCGCUGGUCGAGCCGUACUUCUGGCGGGACAGCCGGGUACUGGAAAAACCGCAAUUGCAAUGGGCAUGGCGAAAUCGCUAGGGCUCGAAACCCCAUUUGCUAUGGUCUCUGGCAGCGAAAUCUUCUCGCUGGAGAUGUCUAAAACCGAAGCCCUAAUGCAAGCUUUUCGAAAAGCAAUCGGCGUAAGAAUUAAAGAAGAAACCGAGAUAAUUGAAGGUGAAGUCGUUGAAGUUCAAAUCGAUAGGCCAGCGGUAAGUGGUGCGGCCUCGAAGACCGGGAAAUUGACACUAAAAUCGACGGAAAUGGAGACGGUUUAUGAUUUGGGGGCGAAGAUGAUAGAAGCACUGGGAAAGGAAAAAGUGCAAAGUGGGGAUGUAAUUGCGAUAGAUAAGGCGUCCGGAAAAAUUACAAAGCUCGGGAGGUCAUUUUCACGGUCAAGGGACUACGAUGCCAUGGGGCCACAGGUGAAGUUUGUUCAAUGCCCCGACGGUGAGCUGCAGAAGAGGAAAGAGGUGGUGCAUUGUGUGACGCUUCACGAGAUUGAUGUCAUUAAUAGCAGAACACAAGGGUUUCUGGCUCUCUUCACUGGUGAUACUGGUGAAAUCCGUGCAGAAGUGAGGGAACAAAUUGACACCAAGGUGGCAGAAUGGAGGGAGGAAGGCAAGGCAGAUAUUGUGCCAGGUGUUCUCUUCAUUGAUGAGGUGCACAUGCUUGACAUUGAAUGCUUCUCUUUCCUGAAUCGUGCUCUUGAGAAUGAAAUGGCUCCAAUAUUAGUUGUUGCAACCAACAGAGGGAUCACCACAAUUCGAGGCACAAAUUACAAAUCUCCACAUGGGAUUCCCAUAGAUCUGCUUGAUCGCCUACUAAUUAUCACAACUCAGCCUUAUACGAAGGAUGAAAUUCGCAAGAUUGUGGACAUUCGGUGUCAAGAAGAAGAGGUGGAAACGUCUGAAGAGGCAAAGGCUUUAUUGACGCACAUUGGGGUAGAAACAUCCUUGAGAUAUGCCAUUAAUCUCAUUACUGCUGCUGCAUUGGCAUGCCAGAGGCGCAAGGGAAAACUUGUAGAGAGCGAGGACAUCACUCGAGCUUAUAAUCUGUUUUUGGAUGUGAAGAGAUCAACACAAUACUUGAUGGAGUAUCAGAACCAGUACAUGUUUAAUGAAGCACCAUUAGGGGACGGUGACGAAGAUGAUGCCAGUGCUAUGCUUUCUUGAAGGUAACUUUAGGAGAUUGUGUUAUUGUACUUGUUACCUUAGCGUCAACACAUUGAUCAUGUUACCAUGAUUUCAGGUUUAUUAAGAAGUGUGUCGAUUGUUAUUAGCUCUGUGAUUUCAUUGUGCAGUAAUGAAUUUUUGUAUCUUUUCUUAAAAAAAAAA
rnacentral:misc_RNA from 1 species